GGAUCUGCAAGAAUUUUCUCUAUCUUUGCAUGAGCCAUCGGGACAUCUGAGAUGACAGCUGGAACAUAAGAUUAAAGUACUCCAGGACCUUGGCAAUGUGCUAGGACCUUGAAAGGAAGCAGAGGGCUGGAGAUUAGCCAUCAACUUACAUCCAGGGAUCUGGAGCAAAGGGAGCAGUUAUCUAGUUCAGCCAGUUUGUAGCCUGCAAAGGCAGGUGUGGCCCAAUCACUGAACCGAUGCAGAAGAGCUGAGACCAGGGCAGAUCUGAGAGGGAUUUCACAUGCCUUCGGAAAUUUCUGUCCCUACCUGAAAUAGAAUUGAAUCACUUGGGAGCUUGUGACAGGAGGACCCUCAUUCAAGAGAUUCUCCUCUCACUCUGCCAGUCUCUGUCAGCCUCUGUCCUUGCUCACAGUCUUGGGAGCAAGUCUGGUUACAUUCCUGGGAGCUGCCUGGUUGGAGCAUGGAAAGAAGCAUCUGGAUGAGUUGGCUCAGUGUGGGUUAGUUCCCUCUUGCUGUGGGUCAGCCUUCAGGCAGAGCGGGCCACGUCCUGCUGCCCAAGCCUUGAAAAGGGACAGAGCUCUGUGAAAGGAUUGGUAAGCUCUGGCUUUGCCUAGAACUGUACUGAUCCUUAAGGGGUGACAUAUUGGACUGUAGAUCUAAAGCCACACUCAACGAGUUGGCGGAGUAUUAAUAAAGCCGACAUUGCUGAUUUCCA